rnacentral:rRNA from 1 species
ACGCACGUGUGAAACUUGAAGGAAUUGACGGAAGGGCACCACAAGAACGCGUGGAGCAUGUGGCUUAAUUUGACUCAACGCGGGAAAUCUUACCGGGUCCGGACACACUGAGGAUUGACAGGCAAUAUUAAAUAAAGUUUAAUUUUCGGACUAUCUGAUAUUUAUGUUAAAUAUGCUAGUCCUUUCAUGAUUAUGUGAUAGGUGGUGCAUGGCCGUUCUUAGUUCGUGGAGUGAUCUGUCUGCUUAAUUGCGUUUCACUAAGGGCUUAUCUAAUUAUAACGUGUGUUGCUAGAGUUUUAUACCUUUGUGACCCCUUUAAUUAGUGUGUGUCUAUAAUGGUAGCUUUGGCUACACAAAUUACGUCCUGAAAGCAACGAACGUGACCG